rfam:Streptomyces sp. RV15 genomic scaffold PRJNA299236_s025, whole genome shotgun sequence.
CGAGCCAGUGCGCAGGGCUCGUUCCCGCCUCAGCGUGCGUCGCGAGUAAUCGCGGGGUGCGAAGCCUGAGGAAAGGCCCAAGGAU